rnacentral:rRNA from 1 species
GAACGCUGGCGGCGUGCUUAACACAUGCAAGUCGAACGGAAAGGCCUCUUCGGAGGUACUCGAGUGGCGAACGGGUGAGUAACACGUGGGUAAUCUGCCCUGCACUUCGGGAUAAGCCUGGGAAACUGGGUCUAAUACCGGAUAGGACCUUUUGGCGCAUGCCUUUUGGUGGAAAGCUUUUGCGGUGUGGGAUGGGCCCGCGGCCUAUCAGCUUGUUGGUGGGGUGACGGCCUACCAAGGCGACGACGGGUAGCCGGCCUGAGAGGGUGUCCGGCCACACUGGGACUGAGAUACGGCCCAGACUCCUACGGGAGGCAGCAGUGGGGAAUAUUGCACAAUGGGCGCAAGCCUGAUGCAGCGACGCCGCGUGGGGGAUGACGGCCUUCGGGUUGUAAACCUCUUUCAGCAGGGACGAAGCGCAAGUGACGGUACCUGCAGAAGAAGCACC